rnacentral:rRNA from 1 species
AGGUGGUGCAUGGCUGUCGUCAGCUCGUGUCGUGAGAUGUUGGGUUAAGUCCCGCAACGAGCGUAACCCUUGUUUUUAGUUGCCAUCAUUUAGUUGGGCACUUUAAAAAGACUGCCGGUGAUAAACCGGAGGAAGGUGAGGACGACGUCAAGUCAGCAUGCCCCUUACGCCCUGGGCUACACACGUACUACAAUGGUCGAGACAAAGAGUCGCUAGUCUGCAAAGGCACGCUAAUCUCAUAAACUCGAUCUCAGUUCGGAUUGUAGGCUGCAACUCGCCUACAUGAAGGUGGAAUCGCUAGUAAUCGCCGGUCAGCAUACGGCGGUGAAUCCGUUCCCGGGCCUUGUACACACCGCCCGUCACACCAUGGAAGCUUACCACACCCAAAGUCGUUACCCUAACCGAUUACGGAGGGGGGCGCCUAAGGUAGGGUUAGUGACUGGGGUGAAGUCGUAACAAGGUAGCCCUACUGGAAGGUGGGGCUGGAUCACCUCCU